rnacentral:lncRNA from 1 species
AGAAGUUUUCUCCUCCUGUCCUGUAACUGGUUUUCACUCACUCAACUGAGAGAUUUCUUUGUUGCAAUGAUGGGGUCUAAGAUAACACUUCUGGAGGCUGCAGGCGAGAAACACAGCUGAUAUCAUCUUUUAUUGUGUGUUGUUAUUUGCCUAGCAUUAUAAAUUAAGGAGGAAUAGUAACAAAGAGCUUGAAGACAUGCACAGCUCACAGGCCCCGGGUGGAGGCUGGCGACAUCAGACAGACAGAACCAAGACAUCUGAGGGGCAACCAGGAGGUGCGUGUGGCUGCAGAGCACACAGACUUGUCUUUGGACAAAAUUGAGAAGAACUCAUAAACUUGGCUUCCUCGCUUCUGCUCCUCAGACGCGCGUGGAUGAUUUGAAGAUAUUAGCCUAACAAGAUGGAAGCAGGUUUAAAAUUUUACAUAAGAAGUUACCUUUUUCAG